CCUACGGGUGGCUGCAGUGGGGAAUUUUGGACAAUGGGGGCAACCCUGAUCCAGCCAUUCCGCGUGAGUGAAGAAGGCCUUCGGGUUGUAAAGCUCUUUCGGCCGGGAAGAAAUCGCAUCUCCUAAUACGGGGUGUGGAUGACGGUACCGGAAGAAGAAGCACCGGCUAACUACGUGCCAGCAGCCGCGGUAAUACGUAGGGUGCGAGCGUUAAUCGGAAUUACUGCAGGCGAAGCGUUAGGACAGAUGUGAAAUCCCCGGGCUUAACCUGGGAACUGCGUUUGUGACUGGUGGGCUUGAGUGCGGCAGAGGGGGGUGGAAUUCCACGUGUAGCAGUGAAAUGCGUAGAGAUGUGGAGGAACACCGAUGGCGAAGGCAGCCCCCUGGGUCGACACUGACGCUCAUGCACGAAAGCGUGGGGAGCAAACAGGAUUAGAUACCCGGGUAGUC
rnacentral:rRNA from 1 species